rnacentral:lncRNA from 1 species
ACCUCGGCGCCUGGCAGCGCCCCCGGCCGCUCCCGCCCGCCUGCUCCCUCCUGCCAAACUGUUACCCUGAGUGUUACCGUCAGGAGCAAUGACAUCAGGGCUUUAAAACAACUUGUUAUUCGGGGAGUAAUCAGUUGCAAUUAGGCAUUAAUUAAGUAUUAUGAAAGUUGAUUAUUUAAGUGAAUUCGGCUUUCGACUCUCCGACUAUGAGUUUGGGACCAAAGAGAGGAGAAUGGAUCUUGGUACAGGUACCGGCCGGUGGGAACCGGGGGAGGCUCUUUCGCUUUUCUUUCGGUUCUUUUACGGAAGUUAUUAUUUUUAGCCCAAUGAGGUAGCAGCUGAGCAGGGGGUGGGGGCCGGCCUGGAGAGGGUCUGGUGCCGGCUGCGCUUCUCGCCCUGGUUUCUGGAUUGCGAGGCUUCCGAUGAUAUUAUUGUUAUUAUUUGUUACUUGCUUAGUGACUGUGACUAAUUUGAUGCUUGUCAUUGUGAAAGAACCGGGGGGAGAGAGGGAGCUGGGGGGCACCCAGAGAGAGGAUCUAGGGGUUUUUUGUGGGGGUUUUUGUUCUCCGUGUUUUUUGAAUGGCUCCGUGUUUUUUCUGUGUUUUUCUUUUCCCCAGCAAAAGAUCUCUAUGUGUCUGGCUGUGGGGUGUGUGUUUUUAUUUUUUUAGUGGGGGGUGGUUGAGUUUUUGAAAGCAGCGUCCUGUUGGGAAAGGUGGUUAGUCUGGUUUCGGGGCGACUGUCUCAAGGUAAAGGAAUUUAAUUUAUUUGGGACAAGGCUGUGUCGGAUGAUCAAGCUGCUUAUUAUGGCUAAUGAGUAUUUUUCACCUGAGAAUCCGUGGGAUGAGGCGGCUGUUAUCAGUUCAAAGUGAGGGGCCCUGGACUCUCUCCCAUCCCUCUUAGCCCUUGGGUCUGGGUUUUGGGGGGCCUAGCAUGACGCCUAGGUUAGGGUUCCAGAUAGCAUAGGUCUGGCCUGGAGCAGAGUUUAUCCUGAGAUUUGGGUGUUGUAUUGGUUUUAAUCUGAUUUUGUUCAACAUUUUUCUUCUCUUCCCAUCUGAGGUUCCAGUCUGAAUCCAGAGUGGGGUUUGCUUUUAAAUUCCUCAGGCUUUCCAGUAGCCUCAGUAUUAAAGUGGAAUUUUGACCAGGACCUUCAGGUCCUAGGCUGACAAAUGCACUGUCUUUGUCCUAAAUGUUUUUUUAGAAGGAGUCAGUGAUAAACAAGUUGAUAAUUCCAUUGAGCUUGAUCUCUGAACCUCUUCCGUUUCAUUUAUAAAAGGAGGUAUGCACUGCUGCUAGAGUCGUGGUUUACGAUGGCCCAAGUUCAUGGCAUUGCCUCUGGGGACCCAUGAGCUGCCAUUUGGCCUUCCAAAGUCGAAGGGGAGUUGGGCAGAGCGGAUAGGAGGCAGCGCUCCAGGGCUCAGGAUGGGUGAUGGGACGUGGCGGUUGGCCUUGGGAAGGAGGAGGGUGUGUUUGUGGAGGAAGGAUCUUUAAGACUACAUCCCGCCAGGUGUCUCAUCACUCCCUCUCAGGCCCCACCCCCUUUCUUCAGAAAUGGGGCCCCCACCCAUCCCAGCUAAGAAGCAGGCCUUCUAGAUGGGCCCAUGGUAACAACACACCACCCCCUACCUGGGACAGGCGGGCCUCCGCUUGUGGGCAAGCCGGUGGGACCCAGGAUUACGCAGCUGGAAGUCAGGCCGUCCUUACCUUCCUCUUUGUAACCCAGAUGCCACUUGGAGCUGGCGUCCAUCCUCCUGCCCUCUGCCAGCCUGCUGGGGGGGCUCGACUCCAAAGCCCUUCUGUAGGGUGAUCCCCACCUGGAGAGAGGGCCUCUGGGGCCUGCAGGUGGCAGAACUUCUUGUAGCAUCUCUCCCGGCACGUGUUUCUCCCAGCACUCUAGGGACAGGCUCUGGAAACUUUUCCUAGAAGUUACAAGGGCCCCUGAGGUCAGCUGGUCCCUCCCGUGGCUGGAGCAGGGCCCUCCCAGGAGGACCCAGGCCUGGACUCUGGCCACUCUGUGAGGGGAGGUCCAGGGUGUCAGCGUUCUGACUGUUUCCUGGAGGAGUCAUCUGGUGAUACCGUCUCAACCUUUUCUUUGAACUUGGAAGUUUCACUUAAUCUCAGAACUUCAGAAGAAAAGCGCUUUUUCCCCUCUUCACUAAAAAAGGGAAGCAGGUGAGAACACUCUGAGGUCCUCUCUGAGUCUGUCUCUGAGCCAACUCCCUGCUCAUCUUUUCUCAGCCUCUGGAAUGUCCUUCUGGAUGCAGCCAGGGACAGGGACCUUCUGGCCAGGGCUCCUUGCUGGUGUGGUACGGGGCCCUCUUCUGUGGGGGGCACCAGGGGCAGCUUCUGCCAAGGGCCUCUCUGGCACAGAACCAGGCUGGAGACCCAAGCCCCAAAGGGUUGCUGGCACCAUGGACUCAGUAAGCACUGGACUGGGGGUUCACAUCACCUCCAGCCCUGGACAGGUCUGGGUCCUGGAGCAUUCAGUGAUGGGAGAACCAGGGCCUCUCAGGAGGGGACAGCAGGACCUCACACCCCUCAGGGGCCAUGUGGACCCCUUUUCUUCCACCAUAGUUCAGCCAAGGGCUGGAUCAAUCUGGACGUCUUUAGCAAUAAAAAAUGCCGAUGUCGUCCUAAUUCACCAGGCCCCGAGAUGACAGCAAAUUUACAUUUUUUAAUUAAACUAGCAGCCAGUUUUUAUGAGAGGGGGUUGGGUUAUGCAAAUCAAAUGGUUGUGUACGGAAGAUUAGGAGAGUUUGGGAAUAAAUUCCACAAAUGCUAAUAAAAAAAAAAAAAA